AUUUUCUUUAAAUUUAAAGAAUUUGGCGGUAAUUUAGUCUGGUCAGAGGAAUCUGCUUCUAAUUAGUCGAUAUAACCCGUAAGAUCUUACUUAUUUUCAUUUAGUUUGUAUACCAUCAUUAGCAGAUAAUUUUUAAAAAAGAAAUUAUUGAAUUUAAUUGUUAUUAAGAAAAUUAGAUCAAGGUGCAGCUUAUAAAUAAGGUGAAGUGGAUUACAAUAAAAUAAAUUUAAACGGAGUAGGAUAGUUAGGUUUCUUAUGAAGGAGGAUUUGAUUGUAAUAUAAGUUUAAUAAGCUUAGG
rnacentral:rRNA from 1 species